AGAGUUUGAUCCUGGCUCAGGAUGAACGCUGGCGGCGUGCUUAACACAUGCAAGUCGAACGAAGAGGGUUAGAAUGAGAGCUUCGGCAGGAUUUCUUUCCAUCUUAGUGGCGGACGGGUGAGUAACGUGUGGGCAACCUGCCCUGUACUGGGGAAUAAUCAUUGGAAACGAUGACUAAUACCGCAUGUGGUCCUCGGAAGGCAUCUUCUGAGGAAGAAAGGAUUUAUUCGGUACAGGAUGGGCCCGCAUCUGAUUAGCUAGUUGGUGAGAUAACAGCCCACCAAGGCGACGAUCAGUAGCCGACCUGAGAGGGUGAUCGGCCACAUUGGGACUGAGACACGGCCCAAACUCCUACGGGAGGCAGCAGUGGGGAAUAUUGCACAAUGGGCGAAAGCCUGAUGCAGCAACGCCGCGUGAAGGAUGAAGGGUUUCGGCUCGUAAACUUCUAUCAAUAGGGAAGAAACAAAUGGCGGUACCUAAAUAAGAAGCCCCGGCUAACUACGUGCCAGCAGCCGCGGUAAUACGUAGGGGGCAAGCGUUAUCCGGAAUUACUGGGUGUAAAGGGAGCGUAGGCGGCAUGGUAAGCCAGAUGUGAAAGCCUUGGGCUUAACCCGAGGAUUGCAUUUGGAACUAUCAAGCUAGAGUACAGGAGAGGAAAGCGGAAUUCCUAGUGUAGCGGUGAAAUGCGUAGAUAUUAGGAAGAACACCAGUGGCGAAGGCGGCUUUCUGGACUGAAACUGACGCUGAGGCUCGAAAGCGUGGGGAGCAAACAGGAUUAGAUACCCUGGUAGUCCACGCCGUAAACGAUGAGUGCUAGGUGUCGGGGAGGAAAUCCUCGGUGCCGCAACUAACGCAAUAAGCACUCCACUUGGGGAGUCGAACCGCAAGGUUGAAACUCAAAGGAAUUGACGGGGGCCCGCACAAGCGGUGGAGCAUGUGGUUUUAAUUCGAAGCAACGGGAAGAACCUUACCAAGGCUUGACAUCCCGAUGACCGUCCUAGAGAUAGGACUUCUCUUCGGAGCAUCGGUGACAGGUGGUGCAUGGUUGUCGUCAGCUCAUGUCGUGAGAUGUUGGGUUAAGUCCCGCAACGAGCGCAACCCUUAUCUUCAGUAGCCAUCAUUCAGUUGGGCACUCUGGAGAGACUGCCGUGGAUAACACGGAGGAAGGUGGGGAUGACGUCAAAUCAUCAUGCCCCUUAUGUCUUGGGCUACACACGUGCUACAAUGGCUGGUAACAAAGUGACGCAAGACGGUGACGUUAAGCAAAUCACAAAAACCCAGUCCCAGUUCGGAUUGUAGUCUGCAACUCGACUACAUGAAGCUGGAAUCGCUAGUAAUCGCGAAUCAGCAUGUCGCGGUGAAUACGUUCCCGGGCCUUGCACUCACCGCCCGUCA
rnacentral:rRNA from 1 species